rnacentral:rRNA from 1 species
GAAUCAACGCUGGCGGCGUGCCUAACACAUACAAGUCGAACGAGAAAGCGUAGCGAUACGUGAGUACAGUGGCGCACGGGUGAGUAACACGUGACUAACCUACCCUCGAGUGGGGAAUAACUUCGGGAAACCGAGGCUAAUACCGCAUAAUACCCACGGGUCAAAGGAGCAAUUCGCUCGAGGAGGGGGUCGCGGCCGAUUAGUUAGUUGGCGGGGUAAUGGCCCACCAAGACGAUGAUCGGUAUCCGGCCUGAGAGGGCGCACGGACACACUGGAACUGAAACACGGUCCAGACUCCUACGGGAGGCAGCAGUGGGGAAUUUUGCGCAAUGGGGGAAACCCUGACGCAGCAACGCCGCGUGGAGGAUGAAGUCCUUCGGGACGUAAACUCCUUUCGAUCGGGACGAUUAUGACGGUACCGGAAGAAGAAGCCCCGGCUAACUUCGUGCCAGCAGCCGCGGUAAUACGAGGGGGGCGAGCGUUGUUCGGAAUUAUUGGGCGUAAAGGGUGCGUAGGCGGUUUGGUAAGUCUGAUGUGAAAUCUAUGGGCUCAACUCAUAGUCUGCAUCGGAAACUGCCGGGCUUGAGUGUGGGAGAGGUGAGUGGAAUUCCUGGUGUAGCGGUGAAAUGCGUAGAUAUCAGGAGGAACACCUGUGGCGAAAGCGGCUCACUGGACCACAACUGACGCUGAUGCACGA